GGCCUGAGAGGGCGACCGGCCACACUGGGACUGAGACACGGCCCAGACUCCUACGGGAGGCAGCAGUGGGGAAUAUUGGGCAAUGGAGGAAACUCUGACCCAGCGACGCCGCGUGNGGGAUGAAGGCCUUCGGGUUGUAAACCGCUUUCAGCAGGGAAGAAGCGAAAGUGACGGUACCUGCAGAAGAAGCACCGGCUAACUAUGUGCCAGCAGCCGCGGUAAUACAUAGGGUGCAAGCGUUGUCCGGAAUUAUUGGGCGUAAAGAGCUCGUAGGUGGUUCGUCACGUCGGAUGUGAAAAUCUGGGGCUCAACCCCUGACCUGCAUUCGAUACGGUCGAGCUAGAGUGUGGUAGGGGAGACUGGAAUUCCU
rnacentral:rRNA from 1 species